GUCCAUGCCGUAAACGGUGGGCGCUAGGUGUAGGGGACUUCCACGUCUUCUGUGCCGCAGCUAACGCAUUAAGCGCCCCGCCUGGGGAGUACGGCCGCAAGGCUAAAACUCAAAGGAAUUGACGGGGGCCCGCACAAGCGGCGGAGCAUGUGGAUUAAUUCGAUGCAACGCGAAGAACCUUACCUGGGCUUGACAUACACCAGAUCGCUGCAGAGAUGUAGCUUCCCUUGUGGCUGGUGUACAGGUGGUGCAUGGUUGUCGU
rnacentral:rRNA from 1 species